rnacentral:tRNA from 1 species
AUUUUUAUAGUUUAAAUAAAACCUUACACUUUCAUUGUAAAAUUAGGAUCCUACCCCUUAAAAAUG